CUUUACUGUAGCCUGGAAUUGGGUUCGGGCUUGGCCUGCGCAGUAUAGGUGGGAGGCGUUGAGUUUAUUCUCGCGGGAAUUUAGGAACCAUCAGUGAGAUACCACUCUGGUAAUGUUAGAUUUCUAACUUUGUAUCAUAAUCUGGUCAAAGGACAGUUUCAGGCGGGCAGUUUGACUGGGGCGGUCGCCUCCUAAAUGGUAACGGAGGCGUACAAAGGUUUCCUCUGAACGUGUAGAAAUCGUAUCUAGAGUAUAAAGGCAUAAGGAAGCUUGACUGUGAGACUUACAAGUCGAGCAGGGACGAAAGUCGGUCUUAGUGAUCUGACGGUGCUGAGUGGAAAGGCCGUCACUCAACGGAUAAAAGUUA
rnacentral:rRNA from 1 species